GGUAACAAGGUCUCCGUAGGUGAACCUGCGGAGGGAUCAUUACAAGUACACUACCGGCCUAACCCGCCGGCUAUGUAUAACCCUUUGUUGUCCGACUCUGUUGCCUCCGGGGCGACCCUGCCUUCGGGCGGGGGCCCCGGGUGGACACUUCAAACUCUUGCGUAACUUUGCAGUCUGAGUAAAUUUAAUUAAUAAAUUAAAACUUUCAACAACGGAUCUCUUGGUUCUGGCAUCGAUGAAGAACGCAGCGAAAUGCGAUAAGUAAUGUGAAUUGCAGAAUUCAGUGAAUCAUCGAAUCUUUGAACGCACAUUGCGCCCCCUGGUAUUCCGGGGGGCAUGCCUGUUCGAGCGUCAUUUCACCACUCAAGCCUCGCUUGGUAUUGGGCGACGCGGUCCGCCGCGCGCCUCAAAUCGACCGGCUGGGUCUUCUGUCCCCUCAGCGUUGUGGAAACUAUUCGCUAAAGGGUGCCCGGGAGGCUACGCCGUAAAACAACCCCAUUUCUAAGGUGACCUCGGAUCACGUAUGUUCCCCCCUUCACCC
rnacentral:rRNA from 1 species